rnacentral:rRNA from 1 species
AUUGAACGUUGGCGGCAGGCUUAAUACAUGCAAGUCGAGCGGUAACAGGAGAAGCUUGCUUCUCGCUGACGAGCGGCGGACGGGUGAGUAACGCGUAGGAAUCUACCCAGUAGCGGGGGAUAGCCCGAGGAAACUCGGAUUAAUACCGCAUACGCCCCACGGGGGAAAGGCCGGGAUCUUCGGACCGGUCACUAUUGGAGGAGCCUGCGUUGGAUUAGCUAGUUGGUGAGGUAAAGGCUCACCAAGGCGACGAUCCAUAGCUGGUCUGAGAGGACGAUCAGCCACACUGGAACUGAGACACGGUCCAG